AAUGAACGUUGGCGGCGUGGAUUAGGCAUGCAAGUCGUACGCUUUAUGUAGCAAUACAUGAAGAGUGGCGUAAGGGAGAGUAAUCCAUGGUUAGCUACCCUUGGGACUGGGAUAGCGGUGGGAAACUGCCGGUAUACCAGAUGAUGUCUUCGGACCAAACGUGUGAAUCGGCCCAGGGAGGCGACCAUGUCCUAUCAGCUUGUUGGCGGGGUAACGGCCCACCAAGGCAAAGACGGGUAUGGGGCGUGAGAGCGUGCCCCCACUCACUGGGACUGAGACACUGCCCAGACACCUACGGGUGGCUGCAGUCGAGAAUCUUCGGCAAUGGGCGCAAGCCUGACCGAGCGACGCCGCGUGCGGGAUGUAGGCCUUCGGGUUGUAAACCGCUGUCGUAGGGGAGGAAGGCUCCGUGCAGAACGGAGUUUGACCGAUCCUAGGAGGAAGGGCCGGCUAAUCUCGUGCCAGCAGCCGCGGUAAAAC
rnacentral:rRNA from 1 species